rnacentral:lncRNA from 1 species
AGUCUGGCUGGAGCUUGGACGUGGCUGAGUGUGCCAAGCAGUGCCAAGCACCCCAGGCAGCUGGGAGAGAGGGGUCUAAUUCCAGCCUUCCUUCUGCAGCCCGGAGGAUGCUUUGACAACUGCCUUGCGAAAGGAAACUCGGAGCUGUGUUGGUGAUUCCCAGACAAGCCAUGCUGGAGCAAGGAACUCUCCCGGCUGGGAGCCCACUGCUGCUGUGACAAAGGGAGCCCCGGCUGAGACCCUGCUCAGAAUUGCGUUGUAAUGUCCUGCCUCCCCCACCAGUCCAUGCUAAGGAGAGCAGGGGCUGUGGCUCUGGCAAUCAGUCCACCCAGAGUCCAGCACACGGUAGGGAGACCCUUGUCCAACUGCACCUAGAAAGAAAGAGCGCCCGCCUCUCGGAACGGCUCUGGAGGCUUCCGGGAGUUUCAUGGUCCUUCACAGGGCUGGAAGCCAACAACAACAAAAUCAGAGAACGAAAGCAGGAAGGCUUCCAGACACCAGGGCAGGGGGCGUCAGGGGGACCGCAGCUCAGAAGGCUGAGGCAGGGACGCUCACCAGGUCUGGGUGCUGACAGCCUCCCUCUCUGCUCCAUGGCUGCCAGCCUGGGUGUCCACUAGACUGGACGGGAGACCCCACAGCAUGGAGCUAAAGACUGAAACCAGGAUGGAAUGGUUGGGCAGAGACAGUCAAGCCUCCAGGGGAAAUAAGCUGCAUUUUUUCAAGUGUUCAUUCCAGCAUUACUUUGCUCUCAUGUGAUGCUGCAUCGCAACUGGGAUGUGGAAAAUUUGUACAAAAAGCCUGCAAGGCUCUGACUUUGUCCCAGAAUCUAACCCAGCCCCCCUGGUGUGGAAUGUCAGGCAGCCACCCCUGCCCUGUGGGACCUGGGUGCACAGCAGCCUGACCCCAUGCGCCCCUCACGAGGGGAAAAGCACUUGAAUGGGUGGACCGGCCCCCUGGCGCCCUCCUGGUGGACUUUGCACAGGGCUCACUAGGAAGGCGAAGUGGGACACGCGGGUGACAAGCGGCGACUCUGAGUCACAAUCUAUGUUGUGACAAAGAUUCUCAGACAGACUGGUUUCAACACGGGCAGAUAACCAGGAGGGUGUAAAUACGAUUUUGCUUCUGCUCCCAGCUGAAACCAGGGGUUCCAUGAGGGACAACAGAAAUUGAUGGGGAUAUCCUAGAAUUCUGAGAAUUCCAGUAUCUCUUUCCUGCAUCCAAAAGAUUGAUUUACAUCUGAGAGGAAUUUGGAAGCACUAAAAUGUACUCACUCUGCAAAGUGAGGAAUUUUUUACAGAACCGAGGACUGAGAGCUGCAGAAGCACAGACACAUUGGAACCGGGAAAGACUGGGUGAUUAUUACCUAACACGUGUGCUACAGAUACGUCCUGUAUCUUCAUUUCUCUGGGAUUCCUUUCGGCAAAUUCUGCGUGAUUUUACCUGCCCGGAAAGGUAGUCUGGGGAUGAAGCGACGCCCCCGUAAGGCGGGAUUUUGAAUACCUGGGAUGUGAGCAGCACGGUACCAAUUCACCUGUUCUGAGACCCGGCCUCUCAGUGUUGGACACAGACAGUGAAACCUCGGGCACGUGACGCGCAGUAACGCGUCCAGGGCCACAGGCAGCACGUGACGGAGCCCAGACUCCUAGGAGCUCGGCAGUGUCCAGAGUUCGCGGCCGUCCCGGACUCCCUGCACAGGCGGCGUGGGAAAUGUUCUCGUGGUCCUGAGUCAGCGGCCUCGCCUUCCCUCCAGAGGAAAGCAACACCUUCCGGCCUGUGGUUGGAGGUCUGCCUGCGAGCAGUGAGAUGUUGCCCCAGGAUCCUUGAGCCUGCAGUUCACCAACAAGCCCUUCCUUUUGGGAAUAAUCGGGGGUAUGUCUGCAGGUGUAGAAAGAAGAAAAGCCCAGUGUACCACUUUAAAGAUGUGCCAGGGAUGGCCACAUAGGCCUCUCUGCAGAGAACUGUAUGCGUCCAGGGACACCUGUGGUCUUUGACGGAUGGAAGAAAGCACAAAAACAAAAAAUGAAACAGAAGACCCGCAGAGAUUAACGCUAACUUUUCUUCUGAACAUUUCGACUUACCGUUCGCCUUGCUAACGAUCCCGAAGGAAGGCAGUGAUGGAGCGGCAGCUAAAAGAGGCAUCAGGCUGAACACCAGGGGUCCGCACAGGUGUGGUUCGUAGCUCACUAAGUUGAUCUUGUACACGACUCGUGCCAAAUACAAGUUGGGCCACAUGCGCCCGGGAAGCUUUUCCUAUUUCAGCGGCUUGGGCAGGCUCUCCUGCAGAGUGGGGCACAGAGAGUCAGCGUGGUAACCACUGGCUGGGCACACAGCAGAGAACAAGAGAUGUCCAGCCACAUGGUCAGCUGCGGUCUGAACCCUCCUUCCGCACUUGCUGGUGGCGUGGCUGUCUUGUGAACCCCUUCAUCCAGUCACGGGACACCUUUCUGCUGCGCCCCUCAAGCCGUGUCACCAGGUGAAAGCCACCCCCUGCCUGUGUGGAUCCUCUCUGGGUGGGCAUGCGGGACCCUCAGAGUUCCCUUUGUGCCCUGAAGGUGUCACGAAGGAGGUCGACAGGGGCUCAGACUGACCGGAAGCCCAGGACCAUUCCUGACCCCCCCAGGUCUCAGGCCUUGCAUGGAGGAAACCUCCACUCAGAAGUCGGGGUAACCCUUGUGACCGUCCCGGGGCACACUUGACCAGCCCCACCGGUCCCCCACCCUGCUUCCUCCCUCUUACUAAUAGGCAGGAAUUGGGCAACAGCUUUGCCAUGACAGCGAGUGCCAUCAGACGUUCCAGAACCAAUGUUUGAUCUUGUUUGGGAAGUUAGUUGUCCUGGCAGAGGGGGUACUGAGGACUCUGUCUCCUGAGUGGCCCAGCUUUCUGGGAAGCCUGCUGUCACCAAAGGACACUUGCGGAGGACAGCUGUAUUCCUUCCACUGGCAGCGUGGAGACUGUAACCUGCGGUCCAAUGGACGGCUCUGCAGGACGCCGGCACCAGGGCCAGGCUAGCCAGAGCGGCUCCUUGCAUAGAGCCUUGGGAGCACCCGCCGCUCAAAGAUCCUGAGACUGCUCCUUUCAUUUGCCAGAAAAGCCUGCUCCCUGUAGUGGCACAGGGGAGCUGGCCAUCCUGUGCUGGCUGAAGGGUUGGUCCUGGCCAGGCUGCAGGUCUGUGACAUUCUUAGCCAGGCCAGGGGAAAGCACAGGGAGCCACAUGGUAUCCUAGGGAGAGCUGUGCACACAGCCUGGGACUUCCCACCUACCUCCCGCAGCACCACCAGCCUUGAGCAAAGGAGAAGUAGGCCCAGUGAUCUUCCUCCAGUUCCUGUGCAGGGGAGACUGGCCACCCAAGCCUCAGCUAAGUGUGAGCUCAAGACACGGCGUCUCCCACCCAACCACAUCCUCCCAGGCUUCUGCGUGGCCCAGUUCCAAGCCUGUGGUCCAAUGGUGAUUUCAUAGCACAGGUACCUGGCUGGCCUCCUCUUCGCAGGGCAAAGAGACCCUUCAGGGGGACCCCGUGCUCCUUCCCCUUCACAAGCACUCAGCAGUUACUGGAUGAACUCGGGGGGCCUGUGCUCCCAGGAACGUAGUUUCCACUUCUGGACCAAUGCCCUCGUUUAUUCCCCACCCCACCUGGCCUGAAGACAACCUCUUCCCAGCCAGCCCUGCUUCGAGGAAAACUAACAGCAAUGGCAUCCCAGACCCCCUGAUACUAGGUUUUACUCCUUGGUAUGAAUGCGUUUGAGAUGCCAUGUGCCGUCGGAGAGAACUUACAAUUUCCUGCUAAGAUCCGGUUGUUCCUGCAAACCGAGUGCCCUCCUGUGAGGCUUUGCCCUUGUCCCCUCCUGCCAGGAAACGCUCUUCCCCAGACGGACGUCUGUCUCACCGCUGCCUCCGCUCAACGGCCCUGACCGCACAGGCCUCCUGGGCACUUGUUUAAAAUAGUAUCUCGUGCCUCCCUCCACCCCGCUUCCCCCGUGAUUUUUAUCUGCGGCCCUGACCUGACUCACGAUGUACUAGCUCCUUGUUUGGUUAGAGUCUGUUUCCCCCAUUUAGACUGUAAGCUCCCUGAAGGCAGGUACACUUGCUUGUUCGUUUUACCUGCCACUAAAUCCCCAGCGCCUGGAACAUAUCUAACCUGCACAAGUUGAGUAUCUGUUGACUAAAUAAAUAGGUAAAUGGUGAAUCAAAAGUUCCAGCAAGGAGUUUAUCUUGCUGGUGACACGGGGUCCGUAGUCACAGUGCCCCUUGCAGGGCACAGCUGCUGCCUGGCCCCAGGGAUGGGCAGACUGGCGCCUUGGAGACUUGUUUCUUCCUGGAGGAUAGGAGCAAGCAGGGCAGCGGCUCCAACGUGGGGCAAAGCCUGCUGCUUCUGUCCUAAGGGAUGCCCAGGGGCCAGGCGGGAUGAACGUGGCUUCCCCUCCCACCUCAUCCAUGUCUGCAAGGGGGGCUUCGUCUGGGUCCUCUCAGCUUUCUGAAAUUUGGAUUUGCUCAUCUGAAGAAUUAAAACAAGGAAGCUUAUCUUGCUGGGUUUCUGUGGAUGCUUGAUAAAUGGCUGGCUCGCCAGAAAUGAAACUCGCCUCCCAGGGCGCCAUAGGCCCUUCUGACCCGAGGCCCGGUGGUGUGCAGGGAGCAGAGUCGUCUUCUCCUAAAGCCGCAGCGGCAGAAAGCGUGGCCGUGCAGGGGAUCUGUCCCGGGUUGCUCCUCCCUCUGACGUUCCUCGGGCCUCUGGAGGGAAGGCAGCAGGUUCUGGGCAGGGUCCAGCCUCGCCACUGUCAGGCCCCGUGCGCUCUGCCCGCCCCGCCUCCGUUUCUCGCCGGGAACGUGGAGACGGAGUCAGGACCUGGUGGGGAAGUGUUCAGACCAUGAAAGGGACUCUGGAGUCCCAGGGGGACACCGAUUGUGAAAGCUGUCAGAGUCCGAGCUUCUGUGUCCCCUCUGGCUGUCAGCCAACGCCGCUCUCACCAUCUCCCCGCGCCCCACCCUGGGCAACGUGGGGCAAUUGCCACGCGCUGCAGAUCCCCGUCCAGGGCCCGCAGGCCAGGCACCGAAGGACCACAGCCCCGUGACUGGGGAAGUCACUUUACGUGGGAGGUAAAUAUUCAAUUAUCCAAGGCCAGUACGCGAACUUAACUGCAUCCCGUCUCCUCAAGACACUAUUUUUUUUUUUUUUUUAAAGGAGGAGAAAUUAUUUCUUUGAUCUUAAAUUGGAUAAACGUUCUUCGGAUGAACCCAGCAGGAGUCUGAACAGGAACAGUGACCGCUGGGGACUUGGCAGGGCUCUGGCCUCUGGGGCGGGCGUGUCCCAGGCCAGGUGGCGCCUCCUUCUGGGCCUUUUUCCUCGGUGGCAGCCGGCUGGGAAGGGCGAGUGAACGCACAGCUGGGCCACCGCGGAGGUGACGGCUUCGCUCUGAUUGGUUCACAGGCAGCUUCCGGGGGAGGGGCUUCGUUUCCGCCCAGCCUGUACCGCCCCAAGUCGCAUCUGAGAGUCUGGGAGCAGAUGUGUGCAGUUGGGGAAACACAGUGGAGCCAGAACCUUUCCACUGUAAAUCCCGCCCAUAUGCUCCAGGGCCGCCUGCAGUGUCCGCAGGGCCUCCUCUCAAAUGUCCAAGUCCCCUCUGCAGGGAUCUACAGAACAGAUGUUACCCUGGCUCCUGUGACAUUAAUUUAUGAACUUCACAUAUGCUGAGUUAUGGACCCCGCGCUGUUGCAUUCACUUUGCUGUACGUUCCAGAAGCACAUUUUUACGGUUCUGUAGAAAGUCUGUGCUGUUCUGCUCUCGAUUUCUGCGAAAUGCUGACUUCUGUCCUUACUGGCGUUUAGUCUGGCCCUAGAAGGUCGCAGGUGGACGAGGAAUCCUAGCAGCUCCCACACCUCCCGCCUAGAGGCAGUGAGAGGCUUAGAGAGAGGAAGCCUUUCCCGAAUUUGCCAGAUCCAUGCACCAGCUGGAGGCUCAAACCUCUGUCUGCUCCAACUUCUCAUCAAUCUGGGCUCUUUACCUCUCAAAAUCUAAGACCAUGAUAUCAGCGCUUUUACAGACAACAUAUUUAAAAACAAAAUGUUUCAGCAAUUUUAUUUUAUUUUUUAAGGACUCUGUUCUUUGAGUGCACUUUUACAUUCACAGCAAAAUUGAGGAGGGGGUGCGGAGAUUUCUGUUCGCUCCCGACCUCAUACAUCAAUAUCCUCUCCGGAGUGGGGGCUUUGUCACAACUCACGGACCUGCAUUAAUACGGCACUGACUCCCAAAGCCCUCCGUUUACACUGGGGAUCGCUCUUGGGGCUGCACAUCCCAUAGGUUUGGGCAAAUGUCUGAUGACAUGACUCCACCACAAUAAUGUCACACAGAGUGAUUUCAGUGCCCUAGCAAACGCUUGUGCCCUGUCAAUUCAUUCUGAACCCCCAACCUCUGGCAAACACUGAA